AACGAAUUAGAAAUCCGGGCAGAUUCGACCCGGAGACAAACGCGUCCCGGCACAAGCAGCAAGGUGCACGCCAGGACCCCUCCCGAGGGACACAGAAUCUGCCAAAGCCCUCGUAGUCGAUUGAUCUAUCGUUGACUGUCUGUCUCCCCAUCAGGGGAGACCUUGGACGUGCCCUGAAGGCGUUCCAGCAGGUGCCAGGCCAGGCCCUACGGAUCCCCCCUCUUCUGACCAUUUCUUCGGUGCCGGCUGCUCGUCCAUCACAUCGGCCAGGGGCUGCACGGUGAGCAGUGAGUGGGCUCGGGGGGCUGCACAUCCUCGCCAGCGUCGGUGCGGUCAGUGCUCCGGAUCCUGGCCAUCCCGACAGAUCACAAUAAAAAAAGAAGAGGAAACAAGGGGCCUCGGUCGGUGAGGCACUGAACGGAAGCAGGGAACUUGCCCAGCAGUGGGGACAACGCGGGCCUGAACGAGGCAUCUCCCCCAGGACCCCCGCUCUCAGCACAGAGCACGGAGACCUCCCUGCACGCCCCCCACCUGCUCCGUCUGUCCGUGAGGGUCCCGGGCUGCACCCCCAGCCCCCUCAGGUCACGGUCACUGGGGUGCAUCCCUCCCUUUGUGUCACUAACUCCAGGCGUGAUUCUGACGCCACGAAGUCACCAGCGACACCACCGGCCGAAGCGGCCUGACCUCACAGAGCAGAGCCUCAUCCCUUCCUAAUCCCGGCCGCUCCCCGCCCGCCCCGCUCACCGGCUCCCCUCCGGUCCUCUCUGACGCUCAGCUUCGGAGGUGCCGGAGGUGAGCCCUCUCCCUCCGCCCGGCUGCAUUCAGGGUCCCCGUCACUCGGGGAAAAACCAAAGGUCUGUGUUGAAAAUGACACGUCCGCUGAGCAAAGUUCAAGUCGUGAGCCCUGGCUCCCACCUGCCUCCUCAGCGCAGCUCGGUGCCCCCGCCGGGGCCCGUGGUUCCUGCCCCGUUCCGUGCUCCUCCCCGAGCAGAGGGUCCCUGUCGCCUGGGAAGGUGGUGGCUCUGAGGGCAGGACGUGGGUCCCGCGCCGCAGCCGGCUCCGGGAAAGAGCAUCUGCAGGGGAACAGCAGGGACCCCCACCGCCCGGCACGGACUGACGAUGCUCAGCCCCUGCCUCACCGCUUCCCACCGCCCCGCGGGGCAGGUGCCUGCGACCCGAGGUACAGAUGGCGACCGGGCAGACAGUGGUGGCGAGGGCAGGUGCGGUGGCCCCUCGGCACCACUGUCUGCCGAGGACCUCGGUACGUCCAGUGCCGACACACCCUCCCUCUCCUGCCCCGACUGGACCACUCGCCCCCGGGUCCCUCCUGUAGCCCCGCGAACCCCCGCCCGGCGGCUGAGUCCCUCGGAUGAUCUCCGUCCCGGUCCUUCUGCCCAGACACCGAAUGAGACGACUUUCCCACCUUCCGGGGGCCUGGCCCGUGACUCGCAGGCCUCCUGGCUAAACGGUUUCCUGAGGGGAAAACAGGACCACGGGGCCUUGCUGAGAACUCCCUGCCAUCGGUCAGGACGCCACCAAGGCUGAGUUCUCUGAGAUGCAAACCCUUCAGCACCGGCCUCUCCUGUCUUUCCAGGAUUCCGGGGCCUUAGGGGCCCUCGGAGUUACAACCUUCGCGCAGGACCAGGUGGUAACCAGUCUAGGCUCCGAGAGCCGGGAGGGGUGUGUCGUGAGCGGUCACCUCUGCCACAGACAGCUGGGGGAUGAGCGGGUGUGGCUGUGUUCCCAUCAAACAUUCCUUGAGAAAACAGGCCGAGGACUGGGUGUGGCCGGGAGGCCGUGUUGCUGACCCCUGGCUUCGAGAAAGGCAGAAGGGAAGACGUUCACCGGCUACGUUUCUUUUCUUCCUGCGUUCAGGACACCGUCACGGCCCCUGGGGGCUCGGGAACUGCUCAUUCAGAAGCGUCUGUGACCUCCCACGCCAGCUGGUUCCCCUGUAAGUCGGGGGUCUCCCCCACCGCCCCCCAACAGGAGGUGCAAACCCAUCUCCUGCUGGAUCCACACAGGGUGGGGUGUCCCCAAAUCGUAGCAACUCGCCUAUCUUUCUGCUCCUUGAGUUUCCAACUAGGACGAUUAAAAAAAACCCAAGAACUACUUUCGAGGCCCUUGCAGACGGCCAUUGGCAGGGUGCCAGCCGCGGCUGGUGCUGUGACGGCAGGGUCCUCUCUGAACCAGCCGGAUGGUGCCUUCUACCCGGGAGAGCAAAUUCCAAGGGACUUCUGGGGUUAAAGCUCCAAGCCCCCGAUGCAAGAAUGCUGCCUCCCCAGGCCGACUGGAGUGCCUCCAAGCAGGGCCACCAGGAUGGAGAAACUGUCCCCAGCCUGGGGAUGCCUACACCUGUCGCAGCCCAGAGAGGCCAGGAGGCAGCGGCCAGGCUCAUCCCCGCCCAACACAGGGGGGCGCCACCCCGCCAGGGAUGCUCUCCCCGGAGCCCUUCUCCACCCGGACACGGGAAAGAGCCCACUGGGGUCUGGAAGGCUGCAGGGCUGAGGCCCAGUGAGGAGACAGGCUCACGAGGACAGAGCCCUGGCGUGUUUUGCUCGCUCUUGAAUCCCCAGCGCCUGGCACAUCCUUGGAACAGAGUUGGCUCAAGAAACACCUGCGAAAUGAAUGAACGAAUUACCAAACAGAGAAGCAGAAACCAUGACUGAAACAUAAAAGUCCAUUAAAACGUGUAGGGCUUCCUCACCGGGCCCGGAGCACCAGGCUUGAAAGCAGGGAGGGGAGGCACACUCCUCGGGGGAAGAACUCAAGGAAGGCCCCAAACUCUGUGACCAAGAUAGACAACUUUUCGAUGCAGUAUUUGAAGAAAAUCAAAGGGCACGCAAAUAAUUCAUGAUAACCUU